rnacentral:rRNA from 1 species
UACGUAGGGCGCAAGCGUUGUCCGGAAUUAUUGGGCGUAAAGGGUGCGUAGGCGGCGCGGUAAGUCGGGUGUGAAAUCUCGGAGCUUAACUCCGAAACUGCAUUCGAUACUGCCGUGCUUGAGGACUGGAGAGGAGACUGGAAUUUACGGUGUAGCGGUGAAAUGCGUAGAUAUCGUAAGGAAGACCAGUGGCGAAGGCGGGUCUCUGGACAGUUCCUGACACUGAGACACGAAGGCCAGGGGAGCAAACGGG